AUGCAGAAUUCAGUGAAUCAUCGAAUCUUUGAACGCACCUUGCGCCCCUUGGCAUUCCGAGGGGCACACCCGUUUGAGUGUCGUG
rnacentral:rRNA from 1 species